rnacentral:rRNA from 1 species
UACGUAGGGGGCAAGCGUUGUCCGGAAUCAUUGGGCGUAAAGAGCGUGUAGGCGGCUCGGUAAGUCCGCUGUGAAAGUCCAGGGCUCAACCCUGGAAUGCCGGUGGAAACUGUCGAGCUAGAGUCCGGAAGAGGCGAGUGGAAUUCCUGGUGUAGCGGUGAAAUGCGCAGAUAUCAGGAGGAGCACCAAUGGCGAAGGCAGCUCGCUGGGACGGUACUGACGCUGAGACGCGAAAGCGUGGGGAGCAAACAGG